UACGUAGGGGGCAAGCGUUGUCCGGAUUUAUUGGGCGUAAAGAGCGUGUAGGCGGCCAGGUAGGUGGGUUGUGAAAACUGGAGGCUCAACCUUCAGACGUCGACCCAAACCCCCUGGCUAGAGUCCGGAAGAGGAGAGUGGAAUUCCUGGUGUAGCGGUGAAAUGCUUAGAUAUCGUCAAGAACACCGAUAGUGUAGACAGCUAACUAAGCUUUAACUGACGCUGAGGCACGAAAGUGUGGGGAUCAAACAGG
rnacentral:rRNA from 1 species